rnacentral:SRP_RNA from 1 species
AGGAAGGCUUUGUGGGCGAGAACCUUGCUAAUCCGGUCAGGUCUGAAAGGAAGCAGCCGUAACAAGAAUUUUCGGGUCACCUUGGCCUUCCUAAU